AGACAUGGGACCAUCAUCUGGAUUCCUAGACGUGCAACUUCAAGCUUAGAAGAAAUAAAGGAAAUAUCCCAGGAGCAAAAACAAAACACACACAUGCUCCUCUCAAGAGUCACUGGCAUCCCAGCUGAAAAGUCAGCUCUACACCUAUGGGACCUAUGGGCCUGUUUCUGAGCUCUGUUCUGUCUCUUUGGUCUGAGUGUCUAUCUGAGGCCAAUACCACAGUACCAAAUGCGGUUGCUUUAGAGGAAGUCUUGAAAUCAGAUGAGGGAGGAUAACUUUCGCAUCUCAGCCCUUCUCCAUUUCCUGAGGCUUCUUCCAGGCUCUGGUGUGUGGUCCACCCUGGAGAAUGUCUCGCUCUCCUCUCGAGAGGAACGUGGCUGCGGCUGUGCGUGGACCGUUUGGCAGAGGCUCAUAUGCUGGAUCCACUGGUUGGUUCACGGGGUUCAUUCCUGUCUGUUGAUCUUCUACCUAGUGGCUCCAUCACUCAUUCAAGCCACCCGAUGUCCCUUUUGAUUAUUGUUUACACGGUUCGUCUUUUUCCACCUUUCCCGGUUGGACUCUGACACGUCUCUG